CCUACGGGAGGCAGCAGUGGGGAAUUUUGGACAAUGGGCGCAAGCCUGAUCCAGCAAUGCCGCGUGAGUGAAGAAGGCCUUCGGGUUGUAAAGCUCUUUUGUCAGGGAAGAAACGGUGGAGGCUAAUAUCCUUUGCUAAUGACGGUACCUGAAGAAUAAGCACCGGCUAACUACGUGCCAGCAGCCGCGGUAAUACGUAGGGUGCAAGCGUUAAUCGGAAUUACUGGGCGUAAAGCGUGCGCAGGCGGUUUUGUAAGUUUGUCGUGAAAUCCCCGGGCUCAACCUGGGAAUGGCGAUGAAGACUGCAAGGCUAGAAUCUGGCAGAGGGGGGUAGAAUUCCACGUGUAGCAGUGAAAUGCGUAGAGAUGUGGAGGAACACCGAUGGCGAAGGCAGCCCCCUGGGUCAAGAUUGACGCUCAUGCACGAAAGCGUGGGGAGCAAACAGGAUUAGAUACCCUGGUAGUCCACGCCCUAAACGAUGUCUACUAGUUGUCGGGUUUUAAUUAACUUGGUAACGCAGCUAACGCGUGAAGUAGACCGCCUGGGGAGUACGGUCGCAAGAUUAAAAACUCAAAAGGAAAUUGAGG
rnacentral:rRNA from 1 species